CCUCCUUUCUAAGGAUGCCGGUGUUUGAAAUUUCACUUUCAAAUUCUGGCGUACUUACAAAUACUACAAUCAAACGGCCUCACGUCGCCGUCUUCGUAUCCCUUCCAUCGCGAAUGCCGAAUACGGGAGAUGGUGUCCGCUCCCCAACAACUGGUGUCAGCCGAAUAUGGGCCUGUAGCUCAGCUUGGUUAGAGCGCACGCCUGAUAAGCGUGAGGUCGGUAGUUCAAGUCUACCCAGGCCCACCAUCCUUUAAAGGUGGACCCUUUCGAGGUGGAUUGAGCAACAAUUCAGCCACUCCGGAAUGGGGGUGUAGCUCAGUUGGGAGAGCGCCUGCUUUGCAAGCAGGAGGUCAUCGGUUCGAUUCCGUUCACCUCCACCAUUUUGCGCUGCAAGUUAAUGAUUUAGCGGCAAUAUGGCAGGACCCCCAUUCGAACAACAUUCGCGGAAAACAAGUUUGCCGAUACACUUUCAUCGGCGGCGCACUUGAAAAAUCAAGAGCGAGCUUUUUGUCAUUGUGAAGAAAAUUGAUCCUGGAUCG
rnacentral:tRNA from 1 species